UGCAGUCGAACGCCGACGCACCUUCGGGUGUUUAGGAGUGGCAGACGGGUGAGUAACGCGUGGGAACCUACCUUUAGGUACGGAAUAACGCAGGGAAACUUGUGCUAAUACCGUAUGAUCCCUUCGGGGCAAAGAUUUAUCGCCUAAAGAUGGGCCCGCGUUAGAUUAGCUAGUUGGUGAGGUAAUGGCUCACCAAGGCGACGAUCUAUAGCUGGUUUGAGAGGAUGAUCAGCCACACUGGAACUGAGACACGGUCCAGACUCCUACGGGAGGCAGCAGUGGGGAAUCUUGCACAAUGGGCGAAAGCCUGAUCUAGCCAUGCCGCGUGUGUGAUGAAGGCCCUAGGGUCGUAAAGCACUUUCGCCAGAGAUGAUAAUGACAGUAUCUGGUAAAGAAACCCCGGCUAACUCCGUGCCAGCAGCCGCGGUAAUACGGAGGGGGUUAGCGUUGUUCGGAAUUACUGGGCGUAAAGCGUACGUAGGCGGAUUAGUAAGUUAGGGGUGAAAUCCCGAGGCUCAACCUCGGAACUGCCUCUAAAACUGCUAGUCUUGAGUUCGAGAGAGGUGAGUGGAAUUCCGAGUGUAGAGGUGAAAUUCGUAGAUAUUCGGAGGAACACCAGUGGCGAAGG
rnacentral:rRNA from 1 species